CGAACGCUGGCGGCGUGCUUAACACAUGCAAGUCGAACGGAAAGACCCUGCUUUUGUGGGGUGCUCGAGUGGCGAACGGGUGAGUAACACGUGAGUAACCUGCCCUUGACUUUGGGAUAACUUCAGGAAACUGGGGCUAAUACCGGAUAGGAGCUCCUGCUGCAUGGUGGGGGUUGGAAAGUUUCGGCGGUUGGGGAUGGACUCGCGGCUUAUCAGCUUGUUGGUGGGGUAGUGGCUUACCAAGGCUUUGACGGGUAGCCGGCCUGAGAGGGUGACCGGCCACAUUGGGACUGAGAUACGGCCCAGACUCCUACGGGAGGCAGCAGUGGGGAAUAUUGCACAAUGGGCGGAAGCCUGAUGCAGCAACGCCGCGUGCGGGAUGACGGCCUUCGGGUUGUAAACCGCUUUCGCCUGUGACGAAGCGUGAGUGACGGUAAUGGGUAAAGAAGCACCGGCUAACUACGU
rnacentral:rRNA from 1 species